GACGAGCCUCUGGUGUACCAGUUAUCCUGCCAAGGGUAAGUGCUGGGUAUCUAAGCUCGGAAGGGAUAACCGCUGAAAGCAUCUAAGCGGGAAGCCCGCCUCAAGACGAGUCAUCCCUGGGGGUAUGACCCCCCUGAAGACCCCGGACAGACCAUCCGGUUGAUAGGUCGCAGGUAUAAGCAUAGUAAUGUGUUCAGCCGAGCGAUACUAAUAGGUCGUGAGGCUUGACCAU
rnacentral:rRNA from 1 species